rnacentral:autocatalytically_spliced_intron from 1 species
ACCCACCAGGUUACGUACAGAAACCACAUACAAGGCCGGUAACUCCAGGUGAGCGUGCUGCCUAACGCGAAACCGAACUGGAAGACGGAGUGCAGGUAGAUGUGGAGCUUGGGUGGGGACA